rnacentral:rRNA from 1 species
GAUGAACGCUGGCGGCGUGCCUAAUACAUGCAAGUCGAGCGAAUGGAUUAAGAGCUUGCUCUUAUGAAGUUAGCGGCGGACGGGUGAGUAACACGUGGGUAACCUGCCCAUAAGACUGGGAUAACUCCGGGAAACCGGGGCUAAUACCGGAUCACACUUUGAACCGCAUGGUUCGAAAUUGAAAGGCGGCUUCGGCUGUCACUUAUGGAUGGAGCCGCGUCGCAUUAGCUAGUUGGUGAGGUAACGGCUUCCCAAGGCAACGAUGCGUAGCCGACCUGAGAGGGUGAUCGGCCACACUGGGACUGAGACACGGCCCAGACUCCUACGGGAGGCAGCAGUAGGGAAUCUUCCGCAAUGGACGAAAGUCUGACGGAGCAACGCCGCGUGAGUGAUGAAGGCUUUCGGGUCGUAAAACUCUGUUGUUAGGGAAGAACAAGUGCUAGUUGAAUAAGCUGGCACCUUGACGGUACCUAACCAGAAAGCCACGGCUAACUACGUGCCAGCCGCCGCAGUAA